AUUGAAUGCUGGCGGCAGGCCUAACACAUGCAAGUCGAGCGGAUGAAGGGAGCUUGCUCCUGGAUUCAGCGGCGGACGGGUGAGUAAUUCCUAGGAAUCUGCCUGGUAGUGGGGGAUAACGUCCGGAAACGGGCGCUAAUACCGCAUACGUCCUGAGGGAGAAAGUGGGGGAUCUUCGGAUCUCACGCUAUCAGAUGAGCCUAGGUCGGAUUAGCUAGUUGGUGGGGUAAAGGCCUACCAAGGCGACGAUCCGUAACUGGUCUGAGAGGAUGAUCAGUCACACUGGAACUGAGACACGGUCCAGACUCCUACGGGAGGCAGCAGUGGGGAAUAUUGGACAAUGGGCGAAAGCCUGAUCCAGCCAUGCCGCGUGUGUGAAGAAGGUCUUCGGAUUGUAAAGCACGUUAAGUUGGGAGGAAGGGCAGUAAGUUAAUACCUUGCUGUUUUGACGUUACCAACAGAAUAAGCACCGGCUAACUUCGUG
rnacentral:rRNA from 1 species